UAUACAGAUUGCUAAGGGAGCGAGCUGCUAGAAUCGUAAAAUACUUAGCGGCAUUUUGUCCGACUUUACGUUCUGAGUUUAAAUUCCGCUGAGACUAACUUUGCCUUUCAUCCGUUUGGAGUGUAUAAAAUAAGUACUAGUUGACUGCUGGGGUCGAUGUAAUCGACGUGUCCCCUUCAUCAAAAUUGCUGGCAUUGUGCCAAAGUUUGAAACCUAUAUUUUACAAGUUGUUUAUUGACGACUGUUAUAUACGUACGUACAAGGUAUAUACACACCUAAAGAAAAUGGGCUAAAGGAACUAACUCAAGUGGGCCAAUGCUAUGAAUUUAGUUUAUUCAAAUAAAUGCUGAUGUCCUGAAUAAUGUAGGUAAAAGAAUCAUAAAAAAUUGAAAUUUUAAUUUUAGUUGGAGAAGGAAAACUAAAACCUUGUGACAAUUAUUAGUGACCCUCAGAGGAAAACGGGGAGAUAGUUUCUGGAAAUUAGGAAUAAUUUCACAAAAUUUGCAUUUUCAUGUUUAGUGAAUGGGUGAGUAGGGGACAGGUGAUAGUUUUUAGAAGACAAGGUGACAACUCUGAGUAUGAUUCGUUUUAAUUAGAUCUCCAGCGUCAUUAACCAUAACCCGUGUCGGAUUUCCAUUGUUUCAGUCAACAAUUCUCUUGUCUCUGGGAAUAGGUUUCCUUUCAAUUAACAAAAACUAAUAACUUUGUUAAGGUCUGCAAGCAUUUUCUUUGAACUGCAAAUUUGAUUUUUUUAUACUUACACCGAUAUGUAUUUUCGAAUUGCGAACUAGAAGGCGCAGUAAGACCCACUGACUUGAACUGAGACGCACUGCAUCAGAAUUCGAAAUCACGUGAUGUUGAUAUAUCUGCUACUUAACUUUUGAGUCUGUCUCACAAAGGUUAUCUGCCUACGAAGAGAAAAGGCUCGAAUUCACUGACAAUAUAAUUAACAGUGGAAUCAAACCUCUUUGGUAUCAUGAAAUGGUCCAUCGAUUAGAUAAACAAAACUGACAUAAAGAUUCUCAAGUUUCUCGUAAUGUACCGCAUGCAUCAUUCAAAGGCAGAUGUAGACAGAAUAUACAUCCCACGAAAGGAUGGUGGAUGUCUCAAAAGGUAGCAUUGAUAGAGUUAGAAACCUAUCUAAAUAAUACGAGUGACUCAGCGAUUGAACUUGUUUGCAAGCAUAGAAUUGUCUAAAAACUACACUCAAUAUGAGAUGAAGCAUAGAAAUAUGAAAAAGGAAUUAAAGAUCAUCAAGACUGAGGCGUAACUAAAUAAAAGCAGAUGCAUCCACCGUGAAAAUAAACAGAUAAAAGCAUAAGCCAAAUCAAAUGGGAAUCUCAGAGCUGCAUAGUAGAUAGAAAAGUAAGGCAUUAUAUGGUAAAUACUCUACAAGGACCAGCAAUUCUUAUGUGGCUGUCUGCAUCUGUACUUAAAUCCAAAACAGAAGGAUUCAUUAUAGGGACUCGGUAUCAAUGUCCGCUCACUGGAAAUUACCAAGUCAACAUUCUUGACUAUCUUAUCGUGUUGCUUCAACUGAGUAUACUAAUUACGAUGACAAACUCGGAAAAAAAAUUGUACUGGUUUACAUACCGUCAGUUUGGAUUCUUAUAUAAAAAGACCUAUCGGGAAUAUAAGCCUGUCAAAGUAGUAGAAAAUAAAGAUACCACUGAUUUUUGUUUUCGUCUUUAAUAUUUAAAUUGAUGGAGUUAUUCGGGCCAAUAGACAAGAUACUAUGGUGAAAAUCACAUUGGAAAAACUUGUCAGCUCAUAGAUAUGUCAACCCCAGCAAAGUGUAAUACCUCUGUGAAAAUGUUUGAAAAAUUAAGUAAAUACAAAUAUUUUGAAAUAGAGAUAAAAUAUCUGACAUCUGAGAAUGGUAACUGUGGCUUUGAAGAUAAUACCAAAUGGCACUCUUGAAUGCCAGGAAAUUCAAGAAGUAUCAGAACUAUAAAAAAAAUUUCACAUGGGUACA